rnacentral:rRNA from 1 species
AUUGAACGCUGGCGGCAUGCUUUACACAUGCAAGUCGAACGGCAGCACGGGGGCAACCCUGGUGGCGAGUGGCGAACGGGUGAGUAAUGCAUCGGAACGUACCCAGUCGUGGGGGAUAACGCAGCGAAAGUUGUGCUAAUACCGCAUACGACCUGAGGGUGAAAGCGGGGGACCGUAAGGCCUCGCGCGAUUGGAGCGGCCGAUGUCUGAUUAGCUAGUUGGUGGGGUAAAGGCCCACCAAGGCGACGAUCAGUAACGGGUCUGAGAGGAUGAUCCGCCACACUGGGACUGAGACACGGCCCAGACUCCUACGGGAGGCAGCAGUGGGGAAUUUUGGACAAUGGGGGCAACCCUGAUCCAGCCAUGCCGCGUGCGGGAAGAAGGCCUCGG